rnacentral:rRNA from 1 species
GCGUGCGCAGGCGGUUUUGUAAGACUGUCGUGAAAUCCCCCGGGGCUCAAACCUGGGAAUGGCGAUGGUGACUGCAAGGCUAGAGUUUGGCAGAGGGGGGUAGAAUUCCACGUGUAGCAGUGAAAUGCGUAGAUAUGUGGAGGAACACCGAUGGCGAAGGCAGCCCCCUGGGUCAAAACUGACGCUCAUGCACGAAAGCGUGGGGAGCAAACAGGAUUAGAUACCCUGGU